ACAACUAACCAUAUUAUAGUCUUAUUAUAUUAAUUUUAAAAAUAAUUCAAUAGAUCAAUAGAUCUACUUUUUUUUAUUAAUAUAACUUAAAUUAUUAAUUAUUAAAAAUAACAAGUCAAUUUUUCCAAGAUUCAUUAUGACACAAAUAACAGACAAGUUGGGGAGAAAAACAAUGAAACCGUAUCUGAUCUCCGGCGAACCUUCACCGGAGUCAACUUCCGAUUUUAAUUUUUUGAUGAUUUAAUGGCUGAUCUGGAUCGAAACAGUGGAAUACGAGAGUGGAGUUGCGUUAAUCAACGAAGGGUGGCCGGCAACGGAGUUAUCGCCAAUGGGAUGUUUCCGGCCAGAUCUGGCCUUCCCAUGGUGCGGCAGGGGUCGGGAGAAGGGGAGAAAGGGGUCAAAACGGCGCGGGGAAAGGUGUUUUCCGGCGACGGAGGGAGAGAAAGGGAUAACGGGAAAGGGGAUUUGGGGAUGGUGCGUGACGGAAACUAGUAGAAGCGCGUUUACCGGUGAUUAAAUCCGGCGAGAUGUGGCGGUUUAGUCACGGGAGGCGAUGGAAAAAGAGCGGUGGUUGGGUCGGUUUUCAGUUAGUUUCCAGCGGAUUUUU
rnacentral:lncRNA from 1 species